UUUUUUAUCGAAAAAAUCCCAAAAUAAUUUCUAAAAUCAUCUUUUAUUUUUCUUCAUCUGAUUUUUAUUUUUUCACAUUUUAUUUCACUAUUUUCAUGAAUUUUCUCUUUUCUCCUUUGUUUUAAUUGGUUUAAAAAUACUUUUCUGUAUUUUUAAAUUAUGAAAAAUAUAUUAUAUGCUUCUUAUUUUUAUUUCCAAUCUCCCAUAAUUUUCUUGGUCAUUUAUUUGGUGUUUUGAAGGACUUUAUGGAAUUUUCACUUUAUUUCAUUUAAUUGCAUUUUAUAUUUGUGUAACCUUUGUAAACUU
rnacentral:lncRNA from 1 species